rnacentral:SRP_RNA from 1 species
GCCGGGUGUGGUGGCGGGCGCCUGUAAUCCCAGCUACUCAGGAGGCUGAGGCAGGAGAAUUGCUUGAACCUGGGAGGCGGAGGUUGCAGUGAGCCAAGGUCGUGCCACUGCACUCCAGCCUGGGUGACAGAGCGAGACUCUGUCUCAA